rnacentral:rRNA from 1 species
GAGCGCUGUAGCAAUACAGAGCGGCGCACGGGAGAGUAACGCGUGGGAACCUACCUUUUGGUUCGGAAUAACACCGGGAAACUGGUGCUAAUACCGGAUAAGCCCUUCGGGGGAAAGAUUUAUUGCCGAAAGAUGGGCCCGCGUUGGAUUAGCUAGUUGGUGAGGUAAUGGCUCACCAAGGCAACGAUCCAUAGCUGGUCUGAGAGGAUGAUCAGCCUCACUGGGACUGAGACACGGCCCAGACUCCUACGGGAGGCAGCAGUGGGGAAUAUUGGACAAUGGGGGCAACCCUGAUCCAGCCAUGCCGCGUGAAUGAUGAAGGCCUUCGGGUUGUAAAGUUCUUUUGACGGGGACGAUGAUGACGGUACCCGUAGAAUAAGCUCCGGCUAACUUCGUG